GAACCCGGCGAUAUUAAAGAUGUCGUAGGACCCCGAGGGCCUCCGGGACCGCAGGGUCCCGCAGGCGAGCAAGGACAACGAGGCGACCGCGGCGAGAAAGGAGAGAAGG